UCUCUACUACAACACUGACACCGUUCUCGAAACUGACGAACACUCUCUCGACACUGACGACACGCUCGAGAGAGUGUGUCAGUGUAGAGAGAGUGUGUCAGUGUAGAGAGAGUGUGUGUAGAGAGAGUGUGUCAGUGUAGAGAGAGUGUGUAGAGAGAGUGUGUCAGUGUAGAGAGUGUGUGUAGAGAGAGUGUGUCAGUGUAGAGAGAGUGUGUGUAGAGAGAGUGUGAAUUAAACCACAGGAUUAGCUGGUUGGUAGUGGAUCAAUCUGAUCAGACAAGCCCUGAUACUGCAGCAGUCAGCAUUGUGGUGUUUCCAUCUCCUACCCUGUGCUGGUUACAAAGAACCAUGACAAAGAUAUUUAUAACCCAAGAUAGUUCAUCUGCGUCAUUUACAGUUGGAGCAAAUGAAGCAUAGUGGGCAGAACAAGCAAGGAGGUGGGCAAAGCCAAACUUGAGUUCACAAGAUCCUAUUGGCACGUUGUAGCAUGUAUUUGCAUAUUUCCGUUAGGGAACGACUCCUCUGUGAAGUGCGCGUGUGCUCAUACUCAAUUUGACCUUGCACUCCUUCUAAACAACUGCAUUUUUUUUUAACCUUUUGCAAAGCGUCAACUCUAUAAAACUUAGUGCACUGUGUUCGUAACAGAGUCUAGUUUUGGGAACAGAGAAAUCUAUUGAGUUUAGAUGUUUCAACAAUGAGACAAUUAGCAUAAUGUCAGCCCAGUUUCCAUCCUCUCCCACUACCCCUGACUGGACUUCCUCUCAGUACCACAUCUCUACAUGACAUUUUCCUGAGUCAGACACGUUGUUUUCAGACACGUGUGAAGUUUCACAUGUAGUUUUUCAAGUGUUUUUCCCUCGUGUGAAAAGCAAACCCCACAUCUGGUCUCCUACCCAGGGACCAACCUGCUCAGCUUCAGAGGCAAACCAACAGUGUGAUGCAGGAUGCUAUCUUUCUGGAAUAAAUGUGCCGAAACUAGCAACGGGAAAAAAGCCAGUGAAUGCAAAGUCCAGGGUAACAUAACCAAAGCCGAAAAGCCCCUGCGGCCACGGAACGUGAAGCUGACGUCAGUGGACAAGGGCCUGAGAGUGAGCUGGGAACCUCCCAACCAGCUGGACGGUCGCCCGGUGGACCGCUACACCAUCAGCUACGGAAAGUCCAUGAGGACACUGCGCUUCAUCAAGGUGGACAAGGACAGACGCUCCGAGGUACUGGAGGAUGUAGGUAAGACAUUGAACAAAAGAGAGAGAGAGAGAGAGAGAGAGAGAGAGAGAGAGAGAGAGAAAUAAAGUGGGACUGAAGGAGAGUGGGAGAGAUAAAAUUAGAGAAAGUGAGGGAGAGUAAGAAGUAAUGUUAGGGGGUGAGCAUGACAGGACUGGUGGUGGCAGAAAGAGAGGGAGUGAGAGAAAGAGGAAUGAGGGAGAGAAAGAAAGAGAGAGAGAGAGGGAUAGAGGGAGAGACCAAAGAGAGGGAGGGAGGGCGAGAGAAACGCGCGAGGGCGUGCAGCCAGCGGCCCUGCGGGCG
rnacentral:lncRNA from 1 species